AUUGAACGCUGGCGGCAGGCCUAACACAUGCAAGUCGAGCGAGCGGCGGACGGGUGAGUAAUGUAUGGGGACUGCCUGAUAGAGGGGGAUAACUACUGGAAACGGUGGCUAAUACCGCAUACUAUCGGAUAACCCAUAUGGGAUUAGCUAGUCGGUGGGGUAAAGGCUCACCUAGGCGACGAUCCCUAGCUGGUCUGAGAGGAUGAUCAGUCACACUGGUAAUGAGACACGGCCCAGACUCCUACGGAGGCAGCAGUGGGGAAUAUUGCACAAGUGGCGAGAGCCUGAUGCAGCCAUGCCGCGUGUAUGAAGAAGGCCUUAGGGUUGUAAAGUACUUUCAGCCGGUAGGCGUUACCCGCAGAAGAAGCACCGGCUAACUCCGUGCCAGCAGCCGCGGUAAUAC
rnacentral:rRNA from 1 species